AGUUUCUGUUUGGUAGAAGUAGAAUGCUGAGAAGUGGUUGGUACAUAGUUUUCUUUAAUUAAAAACAAUGAAGCCUUAGGUUGAGAAAGCUAAGGACAUGACUAGGGUCCUACUGGAAUAGUUCACUGGAUACUAGGUAAUAAGGAAAAUGCAUGUCAAGAUUUGUUAUAAGAUAUCACAAAAGGAGAGGUAAUUGCAUAGAACAAUGAUUUAUAGGUGGAAGUGUAAGCUCAUGCAAUUAAACUGCUGAAAGGGUAAUGUGCAAGCCUGAAGACAUAAGGUGUAAGCUUCACACAUUUUUUCUUUUUAUCCAAGAGUAGUGUACUGCACAAAAUUAUGUGAAAUAAAGUAUGGUGAAAGGGUACGAGUGUUAUGUUUGGAACAUGCCAUCAUCUUUAACUUUUGUAAAUAUCUCAUAUUUCAUUAACCAAAAUGCACAAGCCAAAGCACAUAUAACAAAGGUGGCUUCUUGUUUCAAUAUCUCCAUGUUUGGCAUUUGUUUAGAGUUUAAAUUUUUCACAGUGACAUAUGAUGUAUCAUACCACACCCAAAGUUUGGUACAUGAGUAUAAACACAAUGAAAUCAAAAGAUAUGUGAAUGACUUUCUCACAUGCAUGCCUUCUAUAAAAGGAUUAGACUAAGGUGCAUGUCAUGUCACAUGUGUCACACAUGAACCAGCUUGCGAUGCUUAUGCCUCCCUGCUAUAGCCUCAUCGAAGAGAUUAAAUGUUUUUUACAAGGAAAAUCUAAUCUGCACGCCUUUAAAGAGGUGUAAAGUAAGAAGAAAAGCAUGCAUCACACAUUGAACACCCAGGCGAUGCAUAUAGAUCCCCUAUUUAACAUAUAGUUUCAUCCAUGAGACUUAAGGCAUUUGUCAAGAGGUGAGCGCGAGUCUUUUCAAAAUGAUGAUUGAAGUCAUGAGGCAAUGUUAGAAUAUCAUAUGGCAUGCAAGGCCAAGAAUAUUAAUGUGAGAGGUUAGGAAGGAUUUUAGGAUUAGAUUUUUUGAGAGACUACCCAUGUAUAACUUUCACCAAACUUUCAUUCAUAAAAAUCAUGCAUAACUUUCACCAAAACUUCAUUCAUAAAAAUAUUAAAUUCUCACUUAUGGACCAUAUGAGUGAGGAAGUGAGGUGACUAUGAGAUCAUGUUUUAUAAGAUAUCUUUGGGGAGAAACAGGAGGAAAUGACAUUCUAUCCAAGCUUAUAGUAAUUUAGAUGGAAAACAACUUCAAGCACUGGUGGUUCCUAACAUGCAGGCACAACUUAAUCAAAGAAAAGAAACUAACAUAUGUUGGACCAAUUUGAAAGGAAACCUGUACUAUAACGGCAUUAUAAUGAUUUGAAAUGUUUUAUCCUGCCGAAGCAUAUAGGAUGUAUCUAACCAUAUUUAGUCAAAGAAUCAGACCAAAUACCCAACAAAUUUAUUGUCAAAAAAAGAAGUAAAAAUUACAAUUAUAACAGCUUUUUAAAUAGAGAAGCCUGUCAAACCAAUUCAUUGGUUAAUAAAUCUUUCACCAUUCCCAGAGAGAUAAAGUGAUCUCGCAAAAAGGAUCACCAAAAAAAGAAAAAGAACCUCUGAUAUAACAAGCUUAUCAUUGCAUAAGUGGCUUCAAAUGGACUUAGAAACCCAAACAAAACCUAAACUCUACAAAAAUUCAGCAUCUUGAUCUAUAAUUUUAUACUUAAUCCAAUAAUCAAUACACAAAGUGACUUUCUUGGAAUUUGGCAAUAUUAAAAUGAUUUCCACCGGCAACACCUACAAGCACACCACCCAUUAACAUAGAACAUGACGAACAACCACAAACCUACUACCUUAUACUAGACCUUACUGAACUCAAAACAACCCAGCUUUCGGUAUAAUUCUCAACAAAAAACCAAUUUAGUUUGACUAUGAGAUUCUCUAAUCUCCCUUCCCACCUAGGCUUGUCAAUCUUAGUGGCUCGUCCCAACAAGAAGCAGUUAUCCUUCAUAUGAUUCUACAACUUGCUCAAUAGAGACAAGGAAAAAUACUUAAGAGUUGAAGCCAAAACCAACUAAAGGCUUAUUUGAACUUCUACCACAGGUUAAAAAAUUGGGAGCCUCCACUGUAAGCAUACGUCUCCAUGUAGGAGACUUAAGAUGGCCCACAUGCCACAUCUAGUUUUUAAAUUAUUAUAAUUAUGUAAUAGUAUUAUUUUAUUCAAAAAAUCAUAUCUGGGAGUUGAGAUUUUAACGUAACUGCUUGUAACCACUCAAUCAGAUCAUGUUAAUGUUGAGGGCUAGUUAACGUUGAGUGGGUAUUCCCACUUCCUUGAUGGAAGGAAAGUGGGUGAGAUAUUCAGGUGGAUAUGGGUCUUGGCCUGUCUAUAAAAUUGCCUGUGAUUAUCCAUCAGGUCACAUACUUAUGAGAAAUAGACUAGGCUGAAAACUCUAUCCUUUACUCUCCAUAUAGACAGUGAGGGUUGUGAGGUUUGCUGGGAUUUUAUCCAACUAAUCUCUUGGUUCUCUAAUUGGCUUAAACAACUAUGGCUGGAGGUCAGUCCGUAUUAUAUGUGAUUAUCUUUUCUUCCGUAUGUAGUGUUAUUAUUUCUCCCAAAUUUCUUUCAUUAUUGGUAUCAGAGCCUGCUUCUAUGCUAUGUUGUUUAGUCAAAGGGUGGAUAAAAUUUGAAAGUACCUGCAAGCGUUUAUCAAUUGUUGG
rnacentral:lncRNA from 1 species